rnacentral:tRNA from 1 species
ACCUGGCAGGCUCAGUCGGUAGAGCAUGCGACUCUUGAUCUCAGGAUUGUGAGUUCCAGCCCCACGUUGGGUA